AGUACCAUCAACAACAAGAACAACAUAAAAUGAGAUAUCUGUGAGGUUUCCAUUAAUGAAAACUGAAGAUUCUGAGACCUAUUUCAGCUCUGGGAGCUGCCUACAGACAAGCAAGUACAGUAUUGAAAAGAGCCGCUUUGGGGAGACAGUUUGCAGAAAUUUCUUCCUCGGGGUUUCCAUCUAACAGGUGCUAUUUCCAUAGGAGCGAGAAGAAGAUGAGCAGCCAAAACAAAAAAGCAAGUAGAUUGUUGAUGACGAACGCCACAAUUGCAAGUGCUAUGAAAGCGAAGUGCUGAAGAAGAAGAGUCAAUGACGGCACUUAAAGAGAAAAUGUCAUUCCUAGGACUUAUCCAGAUGGAAAUCACCUGUCUAUCAUCUGAAACUCAGCUCAGUCAAGACUUCCAUGACCACACCAGAGAGCUAUACACUCUCUCCUCUAUAAAGCCAUAAUGUUUUCCUUGAACACAACUGUAUUUCAGCAUUUGAUCAUAGUCCUCUACUUCCCAUGUCUGUCUCCACUACCACAGUGUAAACUACGGAAGGGCAGAGAACACAACUCAUACACAGCCACAACUUCAUAGCCCGGCAGAUCGUGAGCAUACGGGAGGUGCUCUAUAUCUGAAGCAUGAAUAUUUAAGACCAGGAAGCCUGGCUAAAACAUCUACCCUCAAUAUCCUUGCUGUAGAGAUUGCUGUAGUACUUUGGUUUGAAUUAUUCUUUUUUUUUUUCCUUAGAAGACACUUUACAUUUUACCUACAGAUUAAGUGAAUCCGAUUAAUUCAUUUGCGAGGUUCGAGUUCUUAGAUAAUUCAUAUCACCUCCAUAAUAAUUCUUUUGGUAGAUAUAUGGUU